AGUUGGGUGGUGCAGUGGUUAGCAUUGCCCCCUCACAGCAAGAAGGUCUUCGGUUCAAAUCCGACCUGGCCCA